rnacentral:rRNA from 1 species
UACGUAGGGUGCGAGCGUUGUCCGGAAUUAUUGGGCGUAAAGAGCUCGUAGGCGGUUUGUCGCGUCGGCCGUGAAAUCUCCACGCUUAACGUGGAGCGUGCGGUCGAUACGGGCAGACUUGAGUUCGGUAGGGGAGACUGGAAUUCCUGGUGUAGCGGUGAAAUGCGCAGAUAUCAGGAGGAACACCGGUGGCGAAGGCGGGUCUCUGGGGCCGAUACUGACGUGAGGAGCGAAAGCGUGGGGGAGCGAACAGG